ensembl:lincRNA D930028M14Rik RIKEN cDNA D930028M14 gene
CUUCUCAAGAGCUCCCCAAUAUUCCUCCAAAGUCAGAUGGUGACCCCUCUGGACCUCCUGUUGGCCAGACUCAAAGAAAGAGGAAACACUCAGGAAGGGAUGGAGAGAUGGACAGAGCUGAAUGCCUGUGGGAAGCACGGAGAGAAGCAGAGGACUAUGGGAGGCCAGGAGCAGGAGACCUGUGGGCCUGGUGAGCGGCACAGACCUCUGCACUCGGUGGGAUUCCCAGCAGGCCUCGCUCCAAGCUCCCAGGGUUACUCUGAGGUCCGCCUAUGUUGCGGAUCAGAGCUCUGAAUUCUCAGCCUGCCUUAAUUUGCUGUGGGACUGUCCAGGAUUCCAGGGACUCACGGAUCCUAGCCUGAUAAAGUCACUGAAGACUCUGCCUCAAACGGUCCUGGGUUGUUCUUCCAAGUCACCUCCUUAGACCCAGCGAUGCAAGGCUUGUCCCCCACAAGUGAGCUCCAGCUCCUGAGAUCUUCAGGGCUCCUGCACG